rnacentral:rRNA from 1 species
GAGUUUGAUCGUGGCUCAGGAUGAACGCUAGCGGCAGGCUUAACACAUGCAAGUCGAGGGGCAGCACGGGUAGCAAUAUCUGGUGGCGACCGGCAAACGGGUGCGGAACACGUACGCAAUCUACCUUUAUCUGGGGCAUAGCCCGAAGAAAUUCGGAUUAACACCCCAUAAAAUAAUAGAGUGGCAUCACUUAAUUAUUAAAACUCCGGUGGAUAAAGAUGAGCGUGCGUCCCAUUAGCUAGUUGGUAGGGUAACGGCCUACCAAGGCGACGAUGGGUAGCUGGUGUGAGAGCACGACCAGCCACACGGGCACUGAGACACGGGCCCGACUCCUACGGGAGGCAGCAGUGAGGAAUAUUGGUCAAUGGACACAAGUCUGAACCAGCCAUGCCGCGUGGAGGAUGAAGGCCUUCUGGGUUGUAAACUUCUUUUAUU